rnacentral:rRNA from 1 species
ACAAUGAAGAGUUUGAUCCUGGCUCAGGAUGAACGCUAGCGGGAGGCUUAACACAUGCAAGUCGAGGGGCAUUUCUGAUCCCGAGUAAUCGGGAUUGGGAACGACCGGCGCACGGGUGAGUAACGCGUAUGCAACCUGCCCCGUACUGGAGGAUAGCUCCCGGAAACGGGAAUUAAUACUCCAUGAUGAUAUACUGGGGCAUCCCGGUAUAUUUAAAACUCCGGUGGUACGGGAUGGGCAUGCGUAACAUUAGCUAGUUGGUAGGGUAACGGCCUACCAAGGCUACGAUGUUUAGGGGGCCUGAGAGGGUGAUCCCCCACACUGGUACUGAGACACGGGCCAGACUCCUACGGGAGGCAGCAGUGAGGAAUAUUGGUCAAUGGGCGCAAGCCUGAACCAGCCAUCCCGCGUGCAGGAAGAAGGCGCUAUGCGUUGUAAACUGCUUUUGCAGGGGACGAAAAACUCCGACGUGUCGGGGCUUGACUGUACCCUGUGAAUAAGCAUCGGCUAACUCCGUGCCAGCAGCCGCGGUAAUACGGAGGAUGCGAGCGUUAUCCGGAUUUAUUGGGUUUAAAGGGUGCGUAGGCGGAUUGAUAAGUCAGCGGUGAAAUUUUACGGCUUAACUGUAAACGUGCCGUUGAUACUGUCAGUCUCGAGUGUGGUUAAGGUAGGCGGAAUGUGUAAUGUAGCGGUAAAAUGCUUAGAUAUUACACAGAACACCGAUCGCGAAGGCAGCUUACUGGGCCAUUACUGACGCUGAGGCACGAAAGCGUGGGGAGCAAACAGGAUUAGAUACCCUGGUAGUCCACGCUGUAAACGAUGAUCACUCGCUGUUGGCGAUAUACUGUCAGUGGCUAAGCAAAAGCAUUAAGUGAUCCACCUGGGGAGUACGACGGCAACGUUGAAACUCAAAGGAAUUGACGGGGGCCCGCACAAGCGGAGGAACAUGUGGUUUAAUUCGAUGAUACGCGAGGAACCUUACCUAGGCUUAAAUGCAGACUGCAUUUCCGAGAAAUCGGGAUUUCCUUCGGGACCGUCUGCAAGGUGCUGCAUGGUUGUCGUCAGCUCGUGCCGUGAGGUGUCGGGUUAAGUCCCAUAACGAGCGCAACCCUUAUCGUUAGUUGCCAUCGGAUAAAGCCGGGGACUCUAACGAAACUGCCGGUGUAAACCGUGAGGAAGGUGGGGAUGACGUCAAAUCAGCACGGCCCUUAUGUCCAGGGCGACACACGUGUUACAAUGGCCGGUACAAAGGGCAGCUACCUGGCGACAGGAUGCGAAUCUUUAAAACCGGUCUCAGUUCGGAUCGGAGUCUGCAACCCGACUCCGUGAAGUUGGAUUCGCUAGUAAUCGCGCAUCAGCCACGGCGCGGUGAAUACGUUCCCGGGCCUUGUACACACCGCCCGUCAAGCCAUGGAAGCUGGGGGUACCUGAAGUCCGUGAUCCGCCAAUCGGCGGAAGCGGCCUAGGGUAAAACCAGUAACUGGGGCUAAGUCGUAACAAGGUAGCCGUACCGGAAGGUGUGGCUGGAAUACCUCCUUU